GACGAACGCUGGCGGCGUGCUUAACACAUGCAAGUCGAACGGAAAGGCCCUGCUUUUGUGGGGUGCUCGAGUGGCGAACGGGUGAGUAACACGUGAGUAACCUGCCCUUGACUUUGGGAUAACUUCAGGAAACUGGGGCUAAUACCGGAUAGGAGCUCCUGCUGCAUGGGGGGGGUUGGAAAGUUUCGGCGGUUGGGGAUGGACUCGCGGCUUAUCAGCUUGUUGGUGGGGUAGUUGCUUACCAAGGCUUUGACGGGUAGCCGGCCUGAGAGGGUGACCGGCCACAUUGGGCCUGAGAUACGGCCCAGACUCCUACGGGAGGCAGCAGUGGGGAAUAUUGCACAAUGGGCGGACGCCUGAUGCAGCGACGCCGCGUGCGGGAUGACGGCCUUCGGGUUAUAAACCGCUUUCGCCUGUGACGAAGCGUGAGUGACGGUAAUGGGUAAAGAAGCACCGGCUAACUACGUG
rnacentral:rRNA from 1 species